AUGGUUUUUCAACAUCAGGGCCAGUUUAUCCAGUUGCACGGAGUUUCAGCCUCGGUUCAGGAAUGUCCACCGAUCUCAACGGUUGAGUUGCAGCUUCUGCAGGCUCAGGAAUCAGUGCUGCGAGUGGUGCAGUUGUCUUUAGUUAAAGAGGAUGCUGAGCCUGCCGAAAUUCCAAAGGCGGUGACAGCUUUAUUGGAGGAAUUUGCAGAACUGUUCGAAGAUCCUCGAGGAUUGCCACCCCAAUGGUCCUUCGAUCAUACAAUCGAUUUGCUGCCUGGGGCGACACCGGUCAACAUCAGACCCUAUCGAUACAACCCGGCGCAGAAGGAUGAGAUCGACGCGCAAGUGGCCAACAUGUUGAAACAAGGGAUCAUUCAAGUCAGCCAUAGCCCCUUCGCAUCCCCUGUGCUCUUGGUGCAGAAAAAAGAUGGGGAGCAUCGAUUUCCGCCAUCUUAA
rnacentral:rRNA from 1 species